AUUCAGCUGACGAGUCUAGAAUGGAACGAAACCUAUGUCCUGGAU
rnacentral:hammerhead_ribozyme from 1 species